AGAGUUUGAUCCUGGCUCAGGAUGAACGCUAGCUACAGGCUUAACACAUGCAAGUCGAGGGGAAACGACAUCGAAAGCUUGCUUUUGAUGGGCGUCGACCGGCGCACGGGUGAGUAACGCGUAUCCAACCUGCCCACCACUUGGGGAUAACCUUGCGAAAGUAAGACUAAUACCCAAUGACGUCUCUAGAAGACAUCUGAAGGAGAUUAAAGAUUUAUCGGUGAUGGAUGGGGAUGCGUCUGAUUAGCUUGUUGGCGGGGUAACGGCCCACCAAGGCGACGAUCAGUAGGGGCUCUGAGAGGAAGGUCCCCCACAUUGGAACUGAGACACGGUCCAAACUCCUACGGGAGGCAGCAGUGAGGAAUAUUGGUCAAUGGGCGAGAGCCUGAACCAGCCAAGUAGCGUGCAGGAUGACGGCCCUAUGGGUUGUAAACUGCUUUUAUAAGGGAAUAAAGUGAGUCUCGUGAGACUUUUUGCAUGUACCUUAUGAAUAAGGACCGGCUAAUUCCGUGCCAGCAGCCGCGGUAAUACGGAAGGUCCGGGCGUUAUCCGGAUUUAUUGGGUUUAAAGGGAGCGUAGGCCGGAGAUUAAGCGUGUUGUGAAAUGUAGACGCUCAACGUCUGCACUGCAGCGCGAACUAGUUUCCUUGAGUACGCACAAAGUGGGCGGAAUUCGUGGUGUAGCGGUGAAAUGCUUAGAUAUCACGAAGAACUCCGAUUGCGAAGGCAGCUCACUGGAGCGCAACUGACGCUGAAGCUCGAAAGUGCGGGUAUCGAACAGGAUUAGAUACCCUGGUAGUCCGCACGGUAAACGAUGGAUGCCCGCUGUUGGUCUGAAUAGGUCAGCGGCCAAGCGAAAGCAUUAAGCAUCCCACCUGGGGAGUACGCCGGCAACGGUGA
rnacentral:rRNA from 1 species